UACGUAGGGGGCGAGCGUUGUCCGGAUUCAUUGGGCGUAAAGAGCUCGUAGGCGGCUUGGUAAGUCGGAUGUGAAACCUCCAGGCUCAACCUGGAGUCGCCAUCCGAUACUGCCAUGGCUAGAGUCCGGUAGGGGCCCACGGAAUUCCUGGUGUAGCGGUGAAAUGCGCAGAUGUCGGGAGGAACACCGGUGGCGAAGGCGGUUCUCUGGGCCUGUACUGACGCUGAGGAGCGAAAGCGUGGGGAGCAAACAGG
rnacentral:rRNA from 1 species